UACGGGGGGAGCAAGCGUUGUUCGGAUUUACUGGGCGUAAAGGGCGGGUAGGCGGCCACCGCAAGUCGGUUGUGAAAUCUCUGGGCUUAACCCAGAAAGGUCAACUGAUACUGCGGGGCUAGAGUGCAGAAGGGGCAACUGGAAUUCUCGGUGUAGCGGUGAAAUGCGUAGAUAUCGAGAGGAACACCUGCGGCGAAGGCGGGUUGCUGGGCUGACACUGACGCUGAACUGCGAAAGCUAGGGGAGCGAACGGG
rnacentral:rRNA from 1 species